rfam:Triticum aestivum genome assembly, contig: Triticum_aestivum_CS42_TGACv1_scaffold_033216_1BL
AUUAUACUCUCUACGUCUGGAAAUACUUGUCACCAAAAUAAAUAAAAAAGAAUGUAUUUAGAUGUAUUUUAGUUUUAGAUACAUUUUUUCGUUCAUUUUAAUGACAAGUAUUUCCGGACAGAGGAAGUACGAG